rnacentral:rRNA from 1 species
AAUCAACGCUGGCGGCGUGCCUCAGACAUGCAAGUCGAACGCGAAAGUUCCCUUCGGGGAGCGAGUAGAGUGGCGCACGGGUGAGUAACACGUAGGUAAUUUGCCUUUGGGUGGGGAAGUAACUCAGGGAAACUUGAGCUAAUACCGCAUAAUGCAGCGGCUCGACAGUCGAGACAGUUGUUAAAGCGGGGGAUUGGAGCAAUCCGACCUCGCGCCUAAAGAGAAGCCUGCGGCAGAUUAGCUAGUUGGUAAGGUAAUGGCUUACCAAGGCGACGAUCUGUAACCGGCCUGAGAGGGCGGUCGGGUCACACUGACACUGACAUACGGGUCAGACUCCUACGGGAGGCAGCAGUCGGGAAUUUUGGGCAAUGGCGCAGGCCUGACCCAGCAACGCCGCGUG